UACUCCGCCAGCUCCCAGCUGUGGGGCUCCGCUUCCUGCCGCUGGCGACUCUGGGGGGAACCUUUCCCUACCCCCUCUCCUGAGCGACAUGGCUGGGGCCAGGGCAAGGGAAGCAGAGUGGGCUGGGGCUGCAUUGCUUCACUUCCCGCCACCGGCAAGUGUGGGGGGCGAUCCCUUCCCCAACCUCCCCGCACUUGCCAGCGGCAGGAAGCGGAGCGCCACGGCUGGGAGCUAGCAGAGUAGAGCGAGCUGGGGCUGGGCUGCUCUGCUUCCUGCCACUGCUGGUAUAUUUUUGGCCAAAAUUAUGAGUGGGAACCAGAAGCAAAUAAAAGCCUGUUUCAUUUCAGGUAACAAUGCUGUAUGGUGGUGGGAGGAAGAGGAGAUAAUGUUUAAGUGAUUUAGGAAUCCAGGUGGCUGAAGGAGCAUCUGUGUAACUUGAGGUGGUCCUUCCAGCUCUUCCUAUCAUCACAGGUCUGUCAGUGCCAUAUCCACUCUUUCAUUACUGUGCCUGCAGAGGAAUGUGCAAGAGAACUCAAAAGUCCAACCUGGAGCGUCAGUAUUUUAUGUUUCCAAGGCAACACCAGUUUUAACAGCCUUGAUAAUGACAUUAUUUGGUUGAAAGGAGCAUGUAUGAUCUUUUGAUUACCACUGGAAGUACCACUGGAGAGGUUACUCUCUCCAUACCCUUGAAAAAUAAAUGCACUGGGGAAAAAAAAUUCACAAGAGGGUAAAUGGAAAAAUCAGUUUUUACAUUUAAUGGAGUCUUCAGUUCAACAUUUCUUCUCUUUAUAUAUUUAGAUAACAUGCAUUCCUCAGUGAUAUCUUAGUUUCACAGAGCAAAGAAAUUAAUUACUUACUAAUGUGCAAUUCAGAAAUUAAUUUAUGUUAUCAAUAUCAUUUUAAAUAUGUCAUUAUUAAUCAAUGUAAAUGAAGCAGCCUAUAAACUGGAUGCAGUAUAACCUGAUUUGUGCUGAGGCUGCAGGUUAUCAGCUCCAAGGAACACAAUGACAGUGCAGUCACUAAGGAAAGGAGGGGCAAUCCAGUGUCAAACACAGAAAAAAACAAUAUUCCACACUCCUUGCAGACUACGGAAAAUCCCAAUCAUUAUAAUGGUAGAGUGGAUGGUGUAGUGGCAAGGUCGGGAUCUUGCAGCACAACAUUUUCCUAACACACUCCACCCACACCUCCCACCCCCAAACCCCACCCCAAGCUAAAAGUUUGACUGAAUUGUUUUUCUUCCUAGUGGACCAUACAGAGAAAAGUUCCCCCUGUCCCAUCAACACACUAGCACAAUGGAAUUCUGGUCAAUGACUGGGGGUUCUAGGUUCUACUGCAAUACAAAUAAUAUGGAUAAGAGUGGUUACAAGAACCAUCAGUAUGGACCAGACAAUUAAUUUCAUAAACAUCUCACAUCCUUAUCUGAACACGGAUUCAAAACUCCAGAAUGUUUUUUUUUCUGUAUUCCCCUCUGUCAGAGGGGCAGAGGACAGUGCCCAUGUGUAAAUAAACAAAUCUGUACUAUCUGACUGUGUCUCAGUCUUUGUGAACAUCUAUUUCUGUAUAUGUUUGUUAACUUUAAUGCCUGGAUACAGUGUUUGGGCUUGAUUUACCCCAUUGUUACAAACUGUAUCCCAGCAACAGCAGUGGGUGGAGAAAGCCCUGCAAAGGUUUCUGGAGUUUUAAUACAUAUAGUCACAUGCAACAAAUAUGUACACAUACCUUGGUAUUUAAUAGGGUUGCAUAAAACAUUGCAGAAAAAAAGUUUGCAAACAUAUUUGCAAUUUAAGGCUCCGCUUUAACAAAGUGUUUAAACAUAUGCCUAACUUUAACCAUUUGAGCUGUCCCAAGGGGCCUCAAGAUCAGAACCUUACUGAAGAUUUACCUUGACUUCCUUGAAAGGGUUUCAUGGAGUAUAAUCUCGGGCAGAAUUUGGUCAGUUCAGUGUAUGGUAUUAGUCACAGCCCAGCAUGCUCAGAUUCUUUAUGCUGUCACAAUUCUCUUUCACAUAAUUAAAACGAAUUGAUAUGGUUCCUCCCCCUUCCUAUUCUGCUGUGUGGUCUGGUACACAUAUGUGCGUGAGAGAGUGUUUGGAUGGAUAAGAAUACACCUAAAAGUAUAAAAGUGUGUCACCUUUGGAAGUCUUCAAAUAAAAUAUAUAAUAAUAAUAACAAUAAUAAUAACGAUUACUUUUAAUAUAUAAUUAAUAUAUCCACGAGCAUUACAAGGAUCUCAAAGUGUUUUUCACAUAUAAGUUAUUUAAACUCCUGGUUGGUAUGUAAUUCUAUUCCUCUUUUAAAAGAUGGGUAAAUUGAAGUACAGAGAGAGAUGAUGUGACUUGCCUGAGUUAACUUGCUUUCCAGUGGUGAUGUCCAACAUUUAGCUCAGGGAUCACCAGGGAUCGUUGCUCUCAAGGGUGACUAUAUUGAAAAGAAAAUUGGUAUUUGAUUAUGAACUGAAAAUAUUCUCCCGUAGCCUCAAUAGGAAGGAUAGUGAUUAGGAUGCUAGCUUGUGACUUGGGAGUCAUAAGUUCAAUUUCCUGUCCUGCUACAGGCUUCCUUGUAUAGUUGAGGGGUUUUGUGAUGAUAAAUACAUGAAAGAUUCCAAGACUCAUACUAUCUGGGGACCAUAUAAGUACUUUAGGUAGAAAGCUGUGCCCUAUUAUGAUGUUUAAACUGAAGAAUUUGAAUCAGCUCCAUUGCUGCAGGGGAGCAAUUCAAGGAUAUGAAUUUAGCCAGCCUGGUACACUUGGCAACCUCUCAGAGUCAACUAAAAGUAAACAAUCUGUUGUGGAGAUAAGUAACCCCAAGAGUCACAUUAGGAGGACAAUAAAAGUUAAGUAAAAUUUUGUAUUGUGCUUAUAAGUGAAAAGCUAACAUUUAUUCUGGCUCUUUUACAUUUUUUGUAAUAAUAGUGCAUUCAGCUCUCAGGCUGAGGAGGCGGACACCACUGCUGUAGAGCAAAAUCACAAGUGAAGCUGGGCAUAGAACUCAGAAGUCCCAGUUCUCAAUCCCCUUGAAAUGUCUAUGACUUAAAUGUGUGUUAUUAGUUUUAAUACUUGGCUACCAAUAAGAGGCACAAACAGUGAACAGUCUGACUUAUUAGUUUACGCUACUUACUUUAUUUACUAGCGCACUGGAAUAUGUUUGACCUUCUACAUAUUUCUCUUCUGUGUGUUCUGUUGAGUAAAUGCUAAUGUUUUUGGAAGACACUUUGCCGAAUUAUGCUGUAUUAUAAAAUUCCUUUUGAACAUUUACGCUUUUGGCAUAAGGGUGAUAGCCAAUCCUUUCCUAUAAUGAUAUAUUGUCAUGUUAAUUUUGAUGAUAUCGCACUGUAAAACAGGGGGGUAUGAAAGUCUGUAAUUUGCAGGCCUAUAUCAUGAAUGCAUAUUUUUUUGAAGUAAUACAUGCAUUUUAGCAUUCUGCUGUACCUAUAAUGCUGCUUAUUAGGUAUGAAGAAUUUUAACAUGUGACAAUAGUAAGGUAAAGCUAUUAUCCAGCUAACAAGAUUUCAAAUUAGUUUCAUACUCUUUUUCUGGAUGCUUUGGUUUUCGAACCAAUUACUGUUCCACUACCCACAUCGUGCAAAUUUCAUGCUGAAAGUUCUCUUCAUUAGGCUGGAGUAAUGCAUUCUUCUCUAAAUGCUAAGCAGGAAAUG